CUUAUUUUGCCGCAGAAGAGUCGGGCAGUGCCGGAAGGCAAGCGGUGUCAGUCGCUAAUUGGUUUUGCUUUUUCAAUCGUAAGGAAAACCGCAUUGUCCACGCUUUUGCAAACAGUGCAUGGUAUAACCGACGAACGGAGUGUCCGUUACUCACCAAGUUGAUUUUUUCUUACAGCGUCCAGCCCCCCAAAAACUUUAGCUUAUGGGAACUCCCAGAAGGAAUUCAUCCAAAUCGAAAGGGGUCGAUUCCAAUAAUUGGUCGGUUUGAGAUGAAAUUAAUGCAUCGAUCGAUAACGAUGAUAAUCUGAUAACGAGAAGUCGCAUCAAUUGCAAUUUCAAGA